UUAAGUUCAGCGGGUAUUCCUACCUGAUCCGAGGUCAACUCUUGAGAAGUUGGGCGUUUCACGGCGUGACCGUCUCCGCGCUCCGGUGCGAGGUUGUGCUGCUGCGCAGGGGAGGCUGCGGCGAGGUCGCCACUGCAUUUAGGGGGCGGCCGGGGCCGGUCCCCAACACCAAGCCGGGGGGCUUGAGGGUUGAAAUGACG
rnacentral:misc_RNA from 1 species